GGAGGCUCCAGUGCAGGAGGGUUGUUCUGCAAGGCCUGAGUGAAGAGACGGUGUUUGAGCAGAGACCUGAAUGACGUGAAGAUAGUGUCUGACUGUAGACCUUCUCUCCAAGGAAACCCAGUGCAAGAAUCAAGCUCCCAACUACGGUGUGAGUGUUGACUCAGAGCAGAUGGUCCUCCUUCUGGUUACGUCCCGGGGAUUUACCCACACCACUGUGACUGCCAUCCAGCAAAGCUCCUGAUGGAAAAGCUUCAGCCCAGGAGUUCAGCUGGCUGUGCUCCAGUCGUGGUUCUUUGCCCCAUCAAGAAAAUGAACAGCCUCAAGCUAUCCCCCUGGGUAGAGUGCCAUGGCAUCACAGCUCACAGCAACCUCCAAAUCCUGCGCUCAAGCAAUUCUCCUGCCUCCGCCUCCCAAGUAGCUGGGGACGCCCACCUAUUUUUAGGGAUGGGGUCUUGCUCUUGCUCAGGCUGGUCUCCAACCAUGAGCUCAGGCAAUGUACCCACCUUGGCCUCCCAUAGUGCUGGGAUUAUAGGCGUGAGCCACUGCGCCCAGUUCUAAUUUAGUUCUUGUUUUCAAUUGUUUUUGUUAUUUAUUCAGAGGUGAAAUUGCUAUAUCAUGUAGUAAUCCUAUGUUUAAUUUCUGAGGAAUUAGCAUACUGUUUUCCUUAGCAGCUGUACCAUUUUACUUUCUAACCAUUGAUGCACAAGGGUUUCUGUUUAUCCAUAUCCUCAUCAACACUUGUUAUUUUAUUUUUUUUAAUAAUAGCUUUCUCAAUGAGUAUAAGGUGAUGUCUCCAAGUGAUUGUGAUUGUAUUUCUUUACUGAUUUCUUCACUGGUCAUUUUAUAUCUUCUUUGGAGAUAUGUCUAUUCAAGUCCUUUGCCCAUUAAAACAAUUUUAAUGCUAGAUUUAAAUUCCUGGGCUCAAGCUAAACUCCUGCCUCAGCCUUCCAAGUACCUGAAACUAUAGAACUUAAAUGAGAGUGACCACCCACUUUUUGCCCAUUUUUUGAAUUGAAUUGUUUGUUUUGUGUUGUUGUCUUGUCAGAGUUUAAAAAAUAUAUAUAUAGAGAGAGGAAAUUAAUCCCUUAAACGAAUAAUUGGCAAACGUUUUUCUCUCCCUCUGUAGUUGGCUGUGUUAGUUAGCUACAGCAAAAUGCCAUAGAUUGGGUGGCUUAUGCGACAGAAAUUUAUUUUCUCCCAUAUAUUUUCCCAGUUCUGGAGCCUAGAAAGUCUAAGAUCUGCUUGGCUUGACUCCUGCUGAGGAUUUUUUUCCUGGCUUGUCAGCAACCACUGUCUUGCCUUAGAUCAGCAGUACGCAACUUUUUGGCACCAGGGACCAGUUUCACGUGAGACAAUUUUUCUGGGAGAAGGGUGAGUGUGGAGGGAAUGGCUUUGACAUGUGUCUGUAAGCAACUGACUUAGUACGGUCUCCGCUAAUGAUCAUGUGUAUUUGUAGCUGCUCCCCGGUGCUGGCGUCACUGUCUCAGCUGCACCUCAGAUCGUCAGGCAUUAGGUUUGCAUAAAGAGUGAAACCUGGAUCCCUCACAUGCUCCUGUGAGACUCCAACACCAUCACUGAUCUGAUAGCAGGCGGAGCUCUGGUCAUGCUGAGGAGCUUGGGAGCCGCUGUAAAUAAAAAUGAAGUUCUUCUCACCUCCUGCUGUGCAGUCCUGUUCCUAACAGGCCAUGGACCAGCCCAAUCUGUGCCACUCUGUCUCAAUAAAGAAAAAAAAAAAUUCUCCAAAUGGAGAGGAGAUGGAACAUUUAAUCCAUUGUGAGCAGUCUCAGGCCUCCAAAGGUUGACUAAACACCUGUCUAGUCCCAUUGUGACCUCCAGAAACUCAUUCAGAUUCCAGGGCCAUUUUUUUUUAAUCUCUAAGUUCUCAUUUAAUUCUAAUUUCUAUUUAGAUUGAUUAUAGAACUAACACUCAAGUUUUUCUUUCUUCUUCUUUUUUUUUUUUUUGAGACAGAGCCUCAAGCUAUCCCCCUGGGUAGAGUGCCAUGGCUUCACAGCUCAC